rnacentral:lncRNA from 1 species
UCCCCCAUUCCCCUCCCUCCACCCCCAUCCUCCAUUUGCCUUUGGCAUUCUUGGGCCAAAGUCCUGAGAAAUCAGCUGGUGAGAGAGAACCAAGGCAGCAGAAUAAGCCGCUGUCGUUUCCAGGAGCCACUCUAUAAUGUGGGUAUAGACAAAAUUCCAAGGGAACACAGCUCAACAGCCAUCCUAUGCGGGGAGCCAGGGACGAAAGAAGCUGGGAAUGUUUUGGAAGAUACAACGUUAGAGGUCACCUUGACUGGCUCUCACACCCUGAAAGGGCAAUCAGCUGGGAACACUAUCUCUAGAAACCCAGCCUGCUGAUUAGACAG